rnacentral:rRNA from 1 species
UACGUAGGGUCCGAGCGUUGUCCGGAAUUAUUGGGCGUAAAGGGCUCGUAGGCGGUUCGUCACGUCGGGAGUGAAAACUCGGAGCUCAACUCCGAGCCUGCUUCCGAUACGGGCAGACUAGAGGUAGGCAGGGGAGAGCGGAACUCCUGGUGUAGCGGUGGAAUGCGCAGAUAUCAGGAAGAACACCGGUGGCGAAGGCGGCUCUCUGGGCCUUACCUGACGCUGAGGAGCGAAAGCGUGGGGAGCGAACAGG